GCUGGACGUGGUGGGGCACACUUGUAAUCCCAUUUGCUCAGGAGGCUGAGGCAGGAGGAUCGCCUGGACAACUUGGUGAGACACUGUCUCAA
rnacentral:sRNA from 1 species